rnacentral:lncRNA from 1 species
UUCGGUUUCCAGGUUUGCCUUUGGGGUGUGUGUGUGGAGUCUGGCGUAAGCCCAGCGAUUGGCAGUCGGUUUCCUGUGUUUGUGUCUUGUUUUGUUUGGCGUGCGUGAGCCGAGCUACGAGUGCUCUGAUUUUUCUUCAGUCCAAGAAGAUACGUAUGCAUAGGAUGCGACAUUCUAGCGAGCACGUUUCCCCUUGUCCCGAACUACGUCGACUCUGAUGUCUGUGCUUGACAGACUACGUAGGCCCAGGAUGCG